rnacentral:sRNA from 1 species
AGGCGCUACCGGAAAAAACACACACGCACCGACACAUGGUCCCGGGUGCCGUGACGGCAACGCCGAACGGUCGGAUCCAUGGGGUGUGUGGAGGCCCAAC